GACGAACGCUGGCGGCGUGCUUAACACAUGCAAGUCGAACGGAAAGGCCCCUUUGGGGGUACUCGAGUGGCGAACGGGUGAGUAACACGUGAGUAACCUGCCCUUGACUUCGGGAUAACUUCAGGAAACUGGGGCUAAUACCGGAUAGGAAUCCUUGCUGCAUGGUGGGGGUUGGAAAGCUUCGGCGGUUUUGGAUGGACUCGCGGCUUAUCAGCUUGUUGGUGGGGUAGUGGCUUACCAAGGCUUUGACGGGUAGCCGGCCUGAGAGGGCGACCGGCCACAGUGGGACUGAGAGACGGCCCAGACUCCGACGGGAGGCAGCAGUGGGGAAUAUUGCACAAUGGGCGGAAGCCUGAUGCAGCAACGCCGCGGGCGGGAUGACGGCCUUCGGGUUGUAAACCGCUUUCAGCAGGGGCGAAGCUUGUGGUGACGGUACCUGCAGAAGAAGCACCGGCUAACUACGUG
rnacentral:rRNA from 1 species